GAUGAACGCUGGCGGCGUGCUUAACACAUGCAGGUCGAACGAUGAAGCCCAGCUUGCUGGGUGGAUUAGUGGCGAACGGGUGAGUAACACGUGAGUAACCUGCCCUUGACUCUGGGAUAAGCCUGGGAAACUGGGUCUAAUACUGGACAUGACUUCUCAUCGCAUGGUGGGGGGUGGAAAGAUUUAUUGGUCUUGGAUGGACUCGCGGCCUAUCAGCUUGUUGGUGAGGUAAUGGCUCACCAAGGCGACGACGGGUAGCCGGCCUGAGAGGGUGACCGGCCACACUGGGACUGAGACACGGCCCAGACUCCUACGGGAGGCAGCAGUGGGGAAUAUUGCACAAUGGGCGCAAGCCUGGUGCAGCGACGCCGCGUGAGGGAUGACGGCCUUCGGGUUGUAAACCUCUUUCAGUAGGGAAGAAGCGAGAGUGACGGUACCUGCAGAAGAAGCGCCGGCUAACUACGUG
rnacentral:rRNA from 1 species